AUUGAACGCUGGCGGCAGGCCUAACACAUGCAAGUCGAACGAGUGGCGGACGGGUGAGUAAUGUCUGGGAACCUGCCUGAUGGAGGGGGAUAACUACUGGAAACGGUGGCUAAUACCGCAUACCAUCGGAUGUGCCCAGAUGGGAUUAGCUAGUAGGUGGGGUAACGGCUCACCUAGGCGACGAUCCCUAGCUGGUCUGAGAGGAUGACCAGCCACACUGGAACUGAGACACGGUCCAGACUCCUACGGGAGGCAGCAGUGGGGAAUAUUGCACAAUGGGCGAAAGCCUGAUCCAGCCAUGCCGCGUGUAUGAAGAAGGCCUUCGGGUUGUAAAGCACUUUCAGCGGGGAGGCGUUACCCGCAGAAGAAGCACCGGCUAACUACGUGCCAGCAGCCGCGGUAAUUC
rnacentral:rRNA from 1 species